CCGGCCGCUUGACUCAGCUAAGCGCGAAGGUGUUGUUUCUUCCUGAGGUGCGCUGGGGCUGGGACCCGGUCUGCAGAAGGUCCAGGGGGUGGCGUCGGGGGAUGGAGGAGAGGAGACCAAGCCGGCCUUGCUUCCGGGACCAGCGCUUCCAAAUUCUCUGGGGCGUCCCGCCGCGCACACGCUCUUGAGGCCUCGGCGUUCUGAGGAAAGGGGCUGGCGUGGCGACCCGGGUCCUCGAGGCCGAGAUCUGGCUGUGGCCCGCGAAGCCCCGCUUGCCCGCGCCAGCGUCUUGUCACCCCGAGCCGAGGGCCUGCGCGCGGCCGACAGAUAUGGGAUGCUGGAGGACGUCUGGGGGCCACAAAUGCUCCUUCUCCUGGAGACGCAACUCAAGGGUCCUCAAGGUCAUAGAACCCCAUAACCCCAUUAGGUGUCAGGGGCAGAAACAGGACUGUGUGAAGAUUCACAGCCUCCCCCUCCCUUGCCUUCACGGAGCUUCGGCAUCUACCCUUAUUCCAGGCGGCUGCUCAGGGGCACCGUUCUACCCCUUUCUGCCUGGAGAAACUGC
rnacentral:sRNA from 1 species